GAAAUUUUUUUAACAUCACACAGUAGCGACGACCACAGUCCUAGUUUAGAAUCAUUAUUAUGACGAUAGGAAUUUGUAGCAGCCCUCAACCUGUGGCCUUCUGAACCGUCUCUCCGCUGUCCUAUAAGGGAGGGCUAACUGUAUUCCUGGUCGCUCCUGGGACUGGGAGCUCCUGGGGAAGGAAUCCUAAAGGAGUGGUUGUCAAUGCAUUUUCAUUAACAGCCGCGCUCCUCGGCAGCCUCCUAGGGCUGGGGUGGCCACGUGCUCCCUUAAACUGUUUUCACAACUCGAGGCUGUGCUGUGGGUGGCAACUUGAAGGUCUCCAAUAACUUCUCGUUUUUCUUUGGGCCAACGUUUCUGUUUUCUGUCAAUCAAUAGUUUAGUUAUUUAAAAAUAAGAAGGUGAAGAGGGAGUUAUUUGGGGUGGGAACUAGAAUAGACUUCAAAAAAGAAAUCCGUAUUACCCAGUUGGCGUCCCAGCGGUUCCCCGAAUGGCCCAGAGCCCCCAGCACCUGCCGAGGCCGCGCCAUGCACCUGGCUGGGCUCAAUCUGGCCAACUCAGACCUGGCCUGGGCGCCAGAAGGCUGCAGGUGGGACGCUCUGGUCCGAGCCACCGCCUGGGCCCGAAAGAGCCGCUCCUGGGAAGCAAUGCGGGGCCAAUCUCAAAUCCCAAAUUCUGGAAAGCGCUACUUCCCACGCAGUAAAGGGAAGCCCGGGCGCCUCAAAACCAAACCUUGGAAGACGCUGGAGGAGCAAAGCCUGCAAGUUUCCAGUACCAGCAGACAGCCCUGGCGUCCUCGGGAGGCGGCCGGGGGCGGGGGUCC
rnacentral:lncRNA from 1 species